AGUGAACGCUGGCGGUAGGCCUAACACAUGCAAGUCGAACGGCAGCACAGUAAGAGCUUGCUCUUACGGGUGGCGAGUGGCGUACGGGUGAGGAAUACAUCGGAAUCUACUUUUUCGUGGGGGAUAACGUAGGGAAACUUACGCUAAUACCGCAUACGACCUACGGGUGAAAGCAGGGGAUCUUCGGACCUUGCGCGAUUGAAUGAGCCGAUGUCGGAUUAGCUAGUUGGCGGGGUAAAGGCCCACCAAGGCGACGAUCCGUAGCUGGUCUGAGAGGAUGAUCGGCCACACUGGAGCGGAGACACGGUCCAGACUCCUACGGGAGGCAGCAGUGGGGAAUAUUGGACAAUGGGCGCAAGCCUGAUCCAGCCAUACCGCGUGGGUGAAGAAGGCCUUCGGGUUGUAAAGCCGUUUUGUUGGGAAAGAAAAGCAGCAGGUUAAUACCCCGCUGUUCUGACGGUACCCAAAGAAUAAGCACCGGCUAACUUCGUG
rnacentral:rRNA from 1 species